rnacentral:misc_RNA from 1 species
AAGUCGUAACAAGGUCUCCGUUGGUGAACCAGCGGAGGGAUCAUUACUGAGUUACCGCUCAUCAACCCUUUGUGAACAUACCUUAACUGUUGCUUCGGCGGGUAGGCGUCCCCUGAAAAGGACGUCUCCCGGCCCUCUCCCGUCCGCGGGUGGGGCGCCCGCCGGAGGAUAACCAAACUCUGAUUUAACGACGUUUCUUCUGAGUGACACAAGCAAAUAAUCAAAACUUUUAACAACGGAUCUCUUGGUUCUG